rnacentral:rRNA from 1 species
AACGAGAGGGGCAAACGUUAUUCACCUUGACUGGACGUAAAGGGUUGGUAGCUUGAUUAAUAAGUUAAAUAUAAAAAAUUGGAAGUUAAAUCCUAUCAUAUAUUUAAACCUGUUAUUCUAGAGUAUAGUAGAGGAUUUGGGUAUUUUUGAUGGAAAAGUGACAUUUUAAGAUAUCGAAAAGACGGUCAUAAGGUGAAGACUCAUUUCUAGCGUAUACUGACAGUGAUUUCAACUAAAGCACAGGGAGCAAACAGG